GAAAUGGUUUUUCCGCCUAAAGAGAAGCUUGCGGCUGAUUAGCUUGUUGGUAAGGUAAUGGCUUACCAAGGCGACGAUCAGUAUCUGGUUUGAGAGGACGAUCAGACACACUGGAACUGAGACACGGUCCAGACUCCUACGGGAGGCAGCAGUGGGGAAUUUUCCGCAAUGGGCGAAAGCCUGACGGAGCAAUACCGCGUGAGGGAUGAAUGCCUAUGGGUUGUAAACCUCUUUUUUCAGGGAGGAACAAAAUGACGUGUACCUGAAGAAUAAGCAUCGGCUAACUCCGUGCCAGCAGCCGCGGUAAGACGGAGGAUGCAAGUGUUAUCCGGAAUCACUGGGCGUAAAGCGUCUGUAGGUGGUUUAAUAAGUCAACUGUUAAAUCUUGAGGCUCAACCUCGAAAUCGCAGUCGAAACUAUUAGACUAGAGUAUAGUA
rnacentral:rRNA from 1 species